rnacentral:rRNA from 1 species
CCUACGGGUGCAGCAGUGGGGAAUAUUGGACAAUGGGCGAGAGCCUGAUCCAGCCAUGCCGCGUGUGUGAAGAAGGCCUUCGGGUUGUAAAGCACUUUCAGUGGGGAAGAAAGCCUUGGGGCUAAUACCCUCGAGGAAGGACAUCACCCACAGAAGAAGCACCGGCUAACUCCGUGCCAGCAGCCGCGGUAAUACGGAGGGUGCGAGCGUUAAUCGGAAUUACUGGGCGUAAAGCGCGCGUAGGCGGUCUGAUAAGCCGGUUGUGAAAGCCCCGGGCUCAACCUGGGAACGGCAUCCGGAACUGUCAGGCUAGAGUGCAGGAGAGGAAGGUAGAAUUCCCGGUGUAGCGGUGAAAUGCGUAGAGAUCGGGAGGAAUACCAGUGGCGAAGGCGGCCUUCUGGACUGACACUGACGCUGAGGUGCGAAAGCGUGGGUAGCAAACAGGAUUAGAUACCCCGGUAGUC